rnacentral:lncRNA from 1 species
UUGUAUAUUAUAUUUUGUAUGCACGAUAAAUCAAUGACAAGUGAAAGAAUGGGACUAUUUUUCAAGCUAGUAUAUGACAAUUAAGGCCAUCUCAGAAAAAAAGGAAUAAAGAAAGGGAAAAGGAGCUGGGUUUUUACUUCUAAUACAUUAAUUUGAGCACGUAUCUUCACUCUAUUUUUAUCAAAAUUAUUUUGUGCUAUUUCUUUGUGCUUCCUGCUCUCAAAUUGUCAAUUUUAAUCACAAAGCUACCCACUCUAUGACACUGUAAGAUAUUUUUUGCCUUACUGGA